CGUCUAUAUACGUAUAGCAUAUCAAUAAGCGGAGGAAAAGAAACUAACUAGGAUUCCCUUCAGUAACGGCGAGUGAAGCGGGAAGAGCUCAAAUUUGAAAUCUUCAAGGUUUCUACCUUGACGAAUUGUAGUUUAAAGAAGUGUUUUCUGUUGGAAUUUUGGUAAAAGUUCUUUGGAAAUAGGACAUCAUAGAGGGUGAGAAUCCCGUAUUUGACCAUUAUUUUCAGCUGUGUGAUACACUUUCAAAGAGUCGGAUUGUUUGGGAAUGCAGUCCAAAAUGGGUGGUAGAUUUCAUCUAAAGCUAAAUAUUGGCGAGAGACCGAUAGCGAACAAGUACCGUGAGGGAAAGAUGAAAAGAACUUUGAAAAGAGAGUUAAACAGUACGUGAAAUUGUCAAAAGGGAAGCGUUUGACACCAGUGUUGUUUUUCCGAAAAUCAAUUAAGAGUGGCUUGAUUUUGUGUUGUAUUGACCUUAUCAGCUUUCUUCACUCUUUUUCGAGUCUUUCUUAAUGCACUUUUCGGUUAACAAGUCAACAUCAAUUUCUUUUGUUGUAAAAGGGUAUUUGGAAGGUGGCUUUCUUUUCGGAGAAAGUGUUUAUAGCCUUAUACCUCUACAAUCGGAGAGAUUGAGGUCUGCAGCGUAGAUCCUUCGGGGCUAGAUACACUUGUGCUAAGUUAUAGCUUUUCAUAGACAACUUGUUGACUAUGUUUAGUCAUGUAGCUUACCCGCUUGUGCUAUUUUACCUACGCUUAGGAUGUUGAGUCAUCACACAUCUCU
rnacentral:rRNA from 1 species